rnacentral:rRNA from 1 species
GACGAACGCUGGCGGCGUGCUUAACACAUGCAAGUCGAACGGAAAGGCCCUGCUUUUGUGGGGUGCUCGAGUGGCGAACGGGUGAGUAACACGUGAGUAACCUGCCCUUGACUUUGGGAUAACUUCAGGAAACUGGGGCUAAUACCGGAUAGGAGCUCCUGCUGCAUGGUGGGGGUUGGAAAGUUUCGGCGGUUGGGGAUGGACUCGCGGCUUAUCAGCUUGUUGGUGUGGUAGUGGCUUACCAAGGCUUUGACGGGUAGCCGGCCUGAGAGGGUGACCGGCCACAUUGGGACUGAGAUGCGGCCCAGACUCCUACGGGAGGCAACAGUGGGGAAUAGUGCACAAUGGGCGGAAGCCUAGUGCAGCAACGCAGCGUGCGGGAUGACGGCCUUCGGGUUGGAAACCGCUUUCGCCUGUGACGAAGCGUGAGUGACGGUAAUGGGUAAAGAAGCACCGGCUAACUACGUG